rnacentral:RNase_P_RNA from 1 species
GAAGCUGGCCAGGCAGUCGCUGCCUGUUGCGUUUCGGCGCGGCAGGGAGAGGAAAGUCCGGACUCCACAGAGCGGGAUGUCGGCUAACGGCCGAACGCCGUGAGGCGAGGAACAGGGCCACAGAGACGAGCGUAUUCAGUUACGGUGAAACGCGGUAACCUCCAUCCGGAGCAAGACCAAAUAGGCAGGCGAUGAUGCGGCUCGCGGAGCCUGCGGGUAGGUUGCUUGAAUGUACGGGUAACCGUGCAUCUAGAUGAAUGACUGUCCAUGACAGAAUCCGGCUUACCGGCCAGCUUCCUUU